CCUACGGGUGGCAGCAGUGAGGAAUAUUGGUCAAUGGCCGGAAGGCUGAACCAGCCAAGUCGCGUGAGGGAAUAAGGCCCUAUGGGUCGUAAACCUCUUUUGUCAGGGAGCAAAGGCGUCCACGAGUGGACGACAGGAGAGUACCUGAAGAAAAAGCAUCGGCUAACUCCGUGCCAGCAGCCGCGGUAAUACGGAGGAUGCGAGCGUUAUCCGGAUUUAUUGGGUUUAAAGGGUGCGUAGGCGGAGUGUCAAGUCAGCGGUAAAAUUUCGGGGCUCAACCCCGUCGUGCCGUUGAAACUGACACCCUUGAGAUGUCGAGAGGUAUGCGGAAUGCGCAGUGUAGCGGUGAAAUGCUUAGAUAUUGCGCAGAACUCCGAUUGCGAAGGCAGCAUACCGGCGGCGAUCUGACGCUGAGGCACGAAAGCGUGGGUAUCGAACAGGAUUAGAUACCCUAGUAGUC
rnacentral:rRNA from 1 species